rnacentral:tRNA from 1 species
GCAGCCGUGUCCCGAGCGGUACGGGGGCGGGCCCAAAACCCGUCGGCGAAGGCCCUCCCAGGUUCGAUUCCUGGCGGCUGCA